rnacentral:misc_RNA from 1 species
AACGGUCUAUACCUGCGGUACCUGCGGAAGGAUCAUUAUUGAAUAACUUGGUGCUGAGCUGGCCCAUUGGGCAUGUGCUCGCGCCAUAUUAUUUAUCUAUCUCUUGUGCACCUCUUGUAGUCUCUGAAGACUCGCAGUCAAAUGCGGGUUUGGGGUUUGGGCUUUUCUGUCCUCUCCCUGCUUGCUUCAGAGGCUAUGAUUUUAUACACACUGUUGAAGUUACAGAAUGUCUCUUAUUGA